CAGUCAUUCAGGGCAUUCCUGAUUAGGGUCUCGGGAGAACCUGACUAAGCUCCCAGAAGCCUCCGGUGCGGCUCGCUGGGGACGCACUUCCUGGGACGCCGCGAGGGAGACGCUUUAAGAAGCUCCUCAGUGUCGGCGAGUGAAAUGUCUUGGAUGUGAGAAACAGGUAGGUGUGGUCAAGAAUCCGGGUCUUUUGCAUAAAUAGUGGAGGAUUUUGUGUAAAAUAGCUAAGUGGAAGGGAAUCAGGAACCCCGAAAACUGUUGACCACAUCUGUGGACGUCAAGAAUCUGGGUCCUUUGCAUAAAUAGUGGAGGAUUUUGUGUAAAAUAGCUAAGUCGAAGAGAAUCAGGGACCCUGAAAACUGUUGACCACAUCUGUGGACGUGAAAAUUGAGUGAGGAGGUAUUUUAUAAGGCUUUAAAAAAUUAUUUUGUACAGAGGAGUAUGGAAUGUCGAGGUGUCUUGCCGCAGCAGCCAAGGGCUUGGGCUUGGCUAGCGGGGUGUGAGGUGUGGAGCUGGAAGUUGCUAUUUUUGAAUCACCAGCUGGUUGUGUAAUGAUGACCUGCUCUUGGUUCAGACCCACUCAGUGUUCCAGGGAUGGGCUUGUUCACAGUCACUGUUGCGGUCUCUUUCCAUUGGCUCUAACCAGGAGAGCUUUUUUUCCCCCUUCUUUUUCUCUCUUUCUUUCUGCUAGCUCUGAUGCUUCUAAGGACAGGGCUUGAAGGAAAGGAGAAGGAGUGCGGGUUUUUCUGGAAGCUUGGUUUACUCUGAAGCCCAAGUUGUGUGUAAUAACGCCUUGGAGGGGGCUGUCACCACGUUAGAGGAAGGCCAGAUUUGGUGACCCCACUUAAAAUGAAAAGUCAGGGAUGCUAGUGUGUGUCUUUAAUUGUAAAUCAACUUACCUUAAUUUGGAGUGAGGAAUUCUAUGAUAUUAACUCAAGAAACAUACAUUUAGAAAAGAAAAAUUACAAUUUGAUUGAAAUCUCUUCUGUGCAGACUGUUGAGGACAACAUUCUAUAUAAUAAUAAUAGGGCUAGUGAUAAAUGCCUUAUCCAGGAAGUUCUGAAGCUUUUACAAGUUUGUAUCCUCGUCCUACCUAUUGUGGUAAAUAGUUUGAAAAGGAAGUUGUUGAUGCUUAAAAUAGAUCUAUGGUAACAUACUUAAAUGGCAGAUAGAGCCAUUGGUGGAAUUGUAAAUUAGUUGCAAAGUUUAGGAUGCACAAUGCAGAUCAACUUUUGUUCAGCCUAGUUUUGUUAUCAGUAUUCUUUUAAAAGGUACAAAAGAGGGGCGCCUGGGUGGCGCAGUCGGUUAAGCGUCCGACUUCAGCCAGGUCACGAUCUCGCGGUCCGUGAGUUCGAGCCCCGCGUCAGGCUCUGCGCUGAUGGCUCGGAGCCUGGAGCCUGUUUCCGAUUCUGUGUCUCCCUCUCUCUCUGCCCCUCCCCCGUUCAUGCUCUGUCUCUCCCUGUCCCAAAAAUAAAUAAACGUUGAAAAAAAAAUAAAAAAAAAAUAAAAGGUACAAAAGAAACAAAUUUCUUUUACUUUCAAGACAACUAACUGCACAGUGUUUCCUUGGCUCUCCUUAUUCGUAAUCAUCAGAAGGAUCUAAAAAAUUCGUUAUAUAUAUGUGUGUGUACGUUAUAUGUGUGUGUGUAUACAUAUACACACUUAAUUUAGAGAAGUAUCAUGUUAAUUUGGGACAUUUUCCCUAUUUCUUUAGGCCCAGAUCAUCUCUACUGUCUAUUCAGAUGUGCAUAUAUUUCUUCUAAGUUGAUUAAAGUUGUUUUAG
rnacentral:lncRNA from 1 species